rnacentral:rRNA from 1 species
CAGUCGAGCGGCAGCGACACAUUGAACCUUCGGGGGAUUUGUUGGGCGGCGAGCGGCGGACGGGUGAGUAAUGCUUGGGAAUAUGCCUUAUGCUGGGGGACAACAGUUGGAAACGACUGCUAAUACCGCAUGAUGUCUACGGACCAAAGUGGGGGACCUUCGGGCCUCAUGUCCCCAAGAUUAGCCCAAGUGGGAUUAGCUAGUUGGUGAGGUAAUGGCUCACCAAGGCGACGAUCCCUAGCUGGUUUGAGAGGAUGAUCAGCCACACUGGGACUGACACACGGCACAGACUCCUACGGGAGG